rnacentral:lncRNA from 1 species
UAAACUUGCAAAUUCACUAUGAAAAAAAUAUCCCAAGCAUGAAGGGCAGAAGCAGCACUGAGACAGAGUGAGCUCAGGACAGUUCUGUUUGGGGAACCUGUUUCUGUUCCUAUGGACUCCAUCCAUCCAGCAACCAACAUGCAGAAGGCAAACAGCAAGGUGCUCCUUACUGCUGGUUGUCAAACUGGGAUAUCUGGUUGCUCUUUCCAAAUCGAACUCGUUCUCCUUUACAGUGUGAUACUUCUACGCCUACUGCUCUAAUAGUAACCACCUUUUCUCACUAGGUUUAAAGUUCUCCAACUAAGUCAGACACUGCCACCUGACUUGACAUUGCAAUAAAAUGAUAGUCACUUCAUGGAAGCCACCACUAAAUAUACCAAUUACCAGGAAUUUUGGGGGAUGUCCAGAGCUCCUAAAACCCAUCUGUGGGUGACUACAUGAAGAAGGCCGACCUAAAGUCAGCCCAGUCUUUCAACCUGGUCUUCCAUAGUAUACAGCUCCUGGGUUGUUCUGCUUUUUCCAGUUGGUUGUGUUGUGAGUCUGUUGGUUGCUGAUUCUGUAAGAGGUAGUAUAAUUCCUUCUCUCUGUAACUGAGCUUGUAACUGGAAAAAAUGACAAUGCCUAAAAUCGUAUAACAAGAAAAAUGGAAUUUUCACUAUUUCAUGGUUCAUUAUGUUGAAAAUAAAAAGACCAAAAGUUAAAAACUGAGUUCCUAUUUCAAAGCACUAUCAAACAUCUAAUUGCAAAAUAUUAUAUACAGGACGGAGGAAGAAUACAACCAACAUCUAUGUGUAAGAAGGCCGCUGAGAGGAGACAGAAAAUAUCCAGCAGAUUCUUUUGCUAUCUUGUGGC